ensembl:snRNA U6 U6 spliceosomal RNA
GUGCUCACUUUGGCAGCACAUAUGCUAAAAUCGGAAUGAUACAGAGAAGAUUAGCCUGGCCCCUGCGCAAAGAUGACAUGGAAAUUCUUGAAGUAUCCCAUAUUUUG